rnacentral:rRNA from 1 species
UACAGAGGUCCCGAGCGUUGUUCGGAUUCAUUGGGCGUAAAGGGCGCGUAGGCGGCUUGAUAAGCGUGCGGUGAAAGCCCGGGGCUCAGCCCCGGGUCGGCCGUGCGAACUGUCGAGCUGGAGCACUGUAGAGGCAGGUGGAAUUCCGGGUGUAGCGGUGGAAUGCGUAGAGAUCCGGAAGAACACCGGUGGCGAAGGCGGCCUGCUGGGCAGUGGCUGACGCUGAGGCGCGACAGCGUGGGGAGCAAACAGG